UAAAGAGCCGUUAGAGCAAUUUUAGGAAGCAUAAAUGGCAAUUAAAAUGGGCAAAAAAAUAGCCGUUGCUGACAUUUUCCGUCGCAGGGGUCGACUCAUGAGUCGACUCAUGCAUCAGGAGUCGACUCAUGAGUCGACUUCUGUUGCAACAGCCAGAAAAUGAGUUUCUGCAACUUUUAGCCUAAAACUGCAGGGGUCGACUCAUGGGGGUCGACUCAUGCCUGGGGGUCGACUCAUGAGGGUCGACUCACAGGGUGUGCCAAUCAGCUCAUUG
rnacentral:lncRNA from 1 species